rnacentral:rRNA from 1 species
AUACGUAGGUGGCGAGCGUUAUCCGGAAUUAUUGGGCGUAAAGGGUGCGCAGGCGGCCUGUUAAGUUUAAGGUGAAAGCGUGGGGCUUAACCCCAUACAGCCUUAGAUACUGGCAGGCUAGAGUACUGGAGAGGAAAGUGGAAUUCCAUGUGUAGCGGUAAAAUGCGUAGAUAUAUGGAGGAACACCAGUGGCGAAGGCGGCUUUCUAGCCAGUAACUGACGCUGAGGCACGAAAGCGUGGGGAGCAAAUAGGAUUAGAUACCCUAGUAGUCCACGCUGUAAACGAUGAAUACUAAGUGUUGGGGAAACUCAGUGCUGCAGCUAACGCAAUAAGUAUUCCGCCUGUGGAGUAUGCACGCAAGGGUGAAACUUAAAGGAAUUGACGGGG